UUUAGGUCGGGACCGGGGUACGGAGACGAACGCGUGGAAAACCUGCCGUAUACUGGGGGAUAACACUUAGAAAUAGGUGCUAAUACCGCAUAAGCGCACAGCUUCGCAUGAAGCGGUGUGAAAAACUCUGGUGGUAUACGAUGGUUCCGCGUCUGAUUAGCUAGUUGGUGGGGUAAUGGCCUACCAAGGCAACGAUCAGUAGCCGGCCUGAGAGGGUGAACGGCCACAUUGGGACUGAGACACGGCCCAAACUCCUACGGAAGGCAGCAG
rnacentral:rRNA from 1 species